GAGGAAAGAGGGAGGAGUGCCUAAUACAUGCAAGUCGAGCGAACAGAUGAGGAGCUUGCUCCUCUGACGUUAGCGGCGGACGGGUGAGUCACACGUGGAUAACCUACCUAUAAGACUGGGAUAACUUCGGGAACCCGGAGCUAAUACCGGAUACUAUCUUGCCCCGCAUGGUUCCCUCGUGCACGCCGGUUUUGCUGUCCCUUCUCGCUGGCUCCGCGCCGCAUUCGCUCGUUGGUAAGGUACCGGCUUACCAAGGCAACGAUGCGUAGCCGACCUGAGAGGGUGAUCGGCCACACUGGAACUGAGACACGGUCCAGACCCCUACGGGAGGCAGCAGUAGGGAAGCGGCCGCAAGGGGCGAAAGCCGGACGGAGCAACGCCGCGGGAGGGAGGAAGGUCUGCUGAUCGUAAAACUCUGUUAUUAGGGAAGAACAAAGGGGGAAGGAACGAGGCACGGCGUGACGGGACCGAAGCAGAAAGCCACGGCUAACUACGUG
rnacentral:rRNA from 1 species